CCAAGAUGGCGGCCUGAGGGCCCGGGCGCCGAGCGGGGCCUGGCCCGGCCGAGCCCGGGCCGUGAGGGGACAGAGCGAGCGGAACGGCGCCGGUACCUCCGCAGAGCCUGGCCCAGCCUCCGCCCAGGCACACUCGCAGCGGGCACAGCGAUGUCCUGCGGCAGAGGCGCGAGAGCUUCCGCCGGGCAAAGCCUUCUGCGGGACCGUGCAAAGCUCACCAGGAGCGCGGCGGCUUCGGGAAUUAAAGGUCAGGAUGAACAUCAGAAGCUGUUCCUAACUUGUGAAAAACGCAACAGCAAGGCAACUCUCGGCGAAAAGGGGCCGAAAGCCCCGUUCCCGUUUCUAAGGUGCAGGGCCAGGCCCAGCCAGAGGGACACGAGAAAACGCAGCCACAAAAGCUGGGAUCAGUUCUCAGGCAGGAAAACACCCGGAUUACACGGCGGCUUGGAGCACGCUACCGGGAUGUGCGAGGAUCAAGAGAGGUCAGCACUAAAACAGGUGUUUAAUUCCAGCUGAAGAGUCUGAAGGGAACAGGAUGACUUCCAAGGAGCAAAGAACAUCAAUGAUUUCUGUAUUUCUCAUCAGAACUAACACGCACUCACUUGCUGCACAGCACUGCACUGGAAAGUUGCUGGUGUCUUCUUUAUUUCUUAUUUAACGCCAGUACGAGUGGCACUUGACUACACCAAUAGACUCCAGCUGACAUGAACUAAUAUUUGAAUGAAACUUGUUCCCUACUAAGUAAUUCACUUUACAACAUCGUCUUAAUCAAGCUUGAAAAUUCAUGAUUCAUUUUUUCAUAAAUGUAAACAGCGUUAACGAGAUGUGUGUCUUGCCCACGCUGCAGAUGACAGAAGUAAGGCAAACACUGUCGGUGGUUUAACCACAUGAAAAUGAUGUGGGUAUCCUGGACCAAGCAUUGUGCCAUCACCUUGAAAAUGCUGAACACAAAACCAAAGCAAAGAUCCCAGGAUGUGGAUACGUGUAAGUGGUCUGAUUAUUGCAAAUCAUUGACAACCACAUAUGAAAAGAUGAUGCCAAGGAAAAAAUUCUCUGAAUAAUUAAACUGAACAAGUUUCCCUUUUUUUCCCCUUGGAGACACAGAAGUAAAUCACAUCAACAUUUUACUGUCAAAAUGAAGGAAGGGGGUGAGGGGAAGUUAUUUAAAAGGUUGGGUUAGGAGCAUCUUUUGUCAUGACAAGAGAAAAUUUUAAAUAAACUGCCCCAAAAGAACAUGACCAACUUUACAUCACCACCAGGCUCCGGUGAGAUAUCAGCUUCCUGCACGGCACAAAGGGAGCACUUGGGGCUUUGGAGCCUUCCUCUCUCUUUUGGUGGUGGGGAAGUGUCUCAGCCUACAAAGGGCAAACCAAAACCUCAGUCUCUGCCUUCAGGGGUCCUUCGGGCCCUGUUGCUCAGCAGUGGAGCUCAGCAGCUGGCAGGGAGCCGGCUGCACCUCGGGUCCUGCAGCUGCACAUGGUCCCACUCAGUCACUCCGGCCCUGGAGCCCAGCCUCGCACACCAGCGGGCUUCAUUCCUACAGACCAAACAUCCGGUACCAGCCACGGCAAUUAACGAGGAGAAAAAAAUCUAAACAAACAAAUGCAUGCAAAUACUUACCCAGCAGCAGCUCAGCUCCACCCAGCACUGCAUCCCAGCCACGGGAGUCCCGCGGACCCGUCUCUGCUCAUCCCGAGGGAAUCCCGGCAGCUCACGGAGCAUCGGCCGGGCCGGGGCCGCUCCUGGCCGGAACCGCCGCGCCGAGGGCUCGGUCCGGGCACAGGAACCUCCGCGGCUGCAGCGGGACCCGGCCGGGCCCUGCCGGGACCCCCUGCCGCACCUGCGGCCCCCGUCCGUGCCCCCGCUGUGGACAUUAGGCCACUUUCAGCUCUGAUUUAGACAGGACAGACUGUGAUACACACCAGCUUUGUGUGUUGUAAGCACACCAGCCAAGUGUCAUUUAUAAAAGCACGACCCCUGCACUGGGUGCUGUCCCUUCCUUCUCUGGCUCCUUUCACAUCAGCUGCUGCUCUCUGUUCCUCAGCUCUGAGCGCUGCCAUUCUGUUUGUGAUUACCAAAAAGCCAUUUUCAGUACCUGGGCAUUGCCAGGUGCUCACGAGGGCACUCUGGAGAAGUCACUGCACCUCACAGGACAAGAACCACGUUCUGAUAUGGGGACAGCAAAUACACUCAUACACCUUCAACAUAACACCCCAGAGCCUGGAACAACAUUCUCUCACUGAUGAAAUGCAAGGUAUUUCCUUCUGCUAUCAGGUAAUAAAAUAGCAGUUCAAUAGAAAGGAAUGUUAAUUGGAAAGACAGGAAAUGAUACAUUAUUAGCAACACUUCUGAACUGGGUAUAAGAAGUGCUGGUUUAAUACCACAGCACUGCAAUUGCUUUGUGCUUCAUGGCUAUAAAGCACUUUUAAAUCAAGCACACGACAUCAAGUCCCCAAAGACAAAUUUAUCUCCUGUGUGAGAGCAAAGUACACAAGUGAUCUAUGAGAGCUGCACAAGGAGUCUGAAUUCCUACAUCUUGGCUGCAGUCUCGCCUCCCCAAGGACCAGCUGUGCCAUUUAUUGCAUACUUCUAACAGCAUCCAAGAAUAUUGUUACCAUCCAACACAUCUUCCCUCCUGUUAGCAUUGGAAGCCAUUUAUGAAGCUACCUUAAAGCUGAUUUUUCCUCUCCAGCAUUAACCACAUACAACUACACUCCAUUAUCUGAGUGUGACACUUGUUUUGCAAGGAACACAUGCUCAGAAGACUUCUGGAAAGUCUGUAACUAGAAUGCCACAGAUAAUUUGAAGAAAACAGAAAAUCUUCAAAUGGGUAUUUAGCACUAACCUGUAUCUGUAAGCAUGCAUGAAUUUUCAAUUUCAUAAAAUAACCCAAGUCCUAAUGCCUUGUUAAGAGCUCAUCACCUUGAGAAAAGUGAAAUGCUCCUGGGUUUAAAGGACAGAUGAAGUUAACAGCUGCAUUCCUUCCUCAAGGAGGCAGCAGUAGGGAAAGUUAGUCUUCCUUUAAAUAAGUUUCUCAGUUUUCAGAAAACUGCUGUGGGUAGGAGUGCUGUGUAGCAGCAGCAUUGCUGACCUGUGAGCGCACUUGAGCCUCAUCCCCUGGCAGUCUGUGCUGUGCCUCCUCUGCAGAGCCAGCCUCGCUCCAUCCUCCCACACAGGCAUUCCCCAGGACGGGCCCUCAGUCUUUGCUCCUGCUGCCUCCGUGGGUGACCCCAGGGCCGUGCCCGAGCCAGGGAAACUGCAGAGGAUGCACUGCAGAGCUCACACCAUUCCAGGAAUGCCACUCUGCUCCCAGCACUCCUUCCGAGUGUCCUGUGCAGAGAGAACUCCCCCAGCUCCAAGCCACUCACGCUCCAGUGCCCAGGGCAGCAGCCUGGCUGCACUCUGAGUCACUGCUGAUCCCAGCCCUGCUGUCCCCUCCCCGAGGCUCCGUCUGCAGGCAUGGAGAGCCCUGAGCACACAAACCAACCAGUCCCACAGAGAGGAGGGAGGUGCAGAGCAGAACUCUGCUCAGCCCCAAAGCUGCAGAAACAAAAGCCACACGCGAAGGGCUGAGCGCAGCCCGAGUCUCUCCUCCCUGGGUAAACGUGUACAAGGGCUGCCAAGGCAAGAGGUGGGAGGAAACAGCUGUAAGUGAGAUGGGUUUGAGUUCAAGCUGUCCCAUGGACUCUUCCAGAUACUCACAGCAGCAGUGACAGCGUCCCAGCAGCACCUGACACAGGUGACAGGAGGCACCUGAACUGUCCCAGGAGCAGCCCUCAGGCAAGGCAGGCAGUGAGGGGUCCCUGCUGCUGCAGGCACAGCACAGAGAGCAGCAGCACUGCGGGACACACGGCUGGGAGUGCCCAGGGCACGGCUCUGCUCCAGGGGAGGGACACAGAGAGAACAUCCCCGCAAACACAGCCUCGCCCGCUGGCCAGGACAGACAUAUUAAGCCCAUCUGUUGUCACACUUGAGAAAAAGGAUACAUUCUUCCUCAUUUUAUCUGACAAAGUAAUUGAAAAAACCCCAUUUUAUUUCUAUAUCCAUUUAUUAUUUUGGUCUGUAAAAAUAUAAGACUAAUAUACAACUACAUCUAGCUUGAUUUUUGUAAAAUCAAUCUUCAUUCGGUGAGAUACCAAUGUACAUUAUACAUUAAAGUUGUAAGAAAAAUA